AUACUGACACUGAGGUGCGAAAGCGUGGGGGAGCAAACAGGAUUAGAUACCCUGGUAGUCCACGCCCUAAACGAUGUCUACUAGUUGUCGGGUUUUAAUUAACUUGGUAACGCAGCUAACGCGUGAAGUAGACCGCCUGGGGAGUACGGUCGCAAGAUUAAAACUCAAAGGAAUUGACGGGGACCCGCACAAGCGGUGGAUGAUGUGGAUUAAUUCGAUGCAACGCGAAAAACCUUACCUACCCUUGACAUGUCCAGGAGCCCGAAGAGAUUUGGGUGUGCCCGAAAGGGAGCUGGAACACAGGUGCUGCAUGGCUGUCGUCAGCUCGUGUCGUGAGAUGUUGGGUUAAGUCCCGCAACGAGCGCAACCCUUGUCGUUAAUUGCCAUCAUUUAGUUGGGCACUUUAACGAGACUGCCGGUGACAAACCGGAGGAAGGCGGGGACGACGUCAAGUCAUCAUGGCCCUUACGAGUAGGGCUACACACGUGCUACAAUGGUCGGUACAAAGGGUUGCUAGCCCGCGAGGGUACGCCAAUCUCAAAAAGCCGAUCGUAGUCCGGAUUGGAGUCUGCAACUCGACUCCAUGAAGUCGGAAUCGC
rnacentral:rRNA from 1 species